ACACUGAGGCGUGACGACGAGGCACUACGGUGCUGAAGCAACAAAUGCCCUGCUUCCAGGAAAAGCCUCUAAGCAUCAGGUAACAUCAAAUCGUACCCCAAACCGACACAGGUGGUCAGGUAGAGAAUACCAAGGCGCUUGAGAGAACUCGGGUGAAGGAACUAGGCAAAAUGGUGCCGUAACUUCGGGAGAAGGCACGCUGACACGUAGGUGAAGUGAUUUACUCAUGGAGCUGAAGUCAGUCGAAGAUACCAGCUGGCUGCAACUGUUUAUUAAAAACACAGCACUGUGCAAACACGAAAGUGGACGUAUACGGUGUGACGCCUGCCCGGUGCCGGAAGGUUAAUUGAUGGGGUCAGCGCAAGCGAAGCUCCUGAUCGAAGCCCCGGUAAACGGCGGCCGUAACUAUAACGGUCCUAAGGUAGCGAAAUUCCUUGUCGGGUAAGUUCCGACCUGCACGAAUGGCGUAAUGAUGGCCAGGCUGUCUCCACCCGAGACUCAGUGAAAUUGAACUCGCUGUGAAGAUGCAGUGUACCCGCGGCAAGACGGAAAGACCCCGUGAACCUUUACUAUAGCUUGACACUGAACAUUGAGCCUUGAUGUGUAGGAUAGGUGGGAGGCUUUGAAGUGUGGACGCCAGUCUGCAUGGAGCCGACCUUGAAAUACCACCCUUUAAUGUUUGAUGUUCUAACGUGGACCCGUUACCCGGGUUGCGGACAGUGUCUGGUGGGUAGUUUGACUGGGGCGGUCUCCUCCUAAAGAGUAACGGAGGAGCACGAAGGUUGGCUAAUCCUGGUCGGACAUCAGGAGGUUAGUGCAAUGGCAUAAGCCAGCUUGACUGCGAGCGUGACGGCGCGAGCAGGUGCGAAAGCAGGUCAUAGUGAUCCGGUGGUUCUGAAUGGAAGGGCCAUCGCUCAACGGAUAAAAGGUACUCCGGGGAUAACAGGCUGAUACCGCCCAAGAGUUCAUAUCGACGGCGGUGUUUGGCACCUCGAUGUCGGCUCAUCACAUCCUGGGGCUGAAGUAGGUCCCAAGGGUAUGGCUGUUCGCCAUUUAAAGUGGUACGCGAGCUGGGUUUAGAACGUCGUGAGACAGUUCGGUCCCUAUCUGCCGUGGGCGCUGGAGAACUGAGGGGGGCUGCUCCUAGUACGAGAGGACCGGAGUGGACGCAUCACUGGUGUUCGGGUUGUCAUGCCAAUGGCACUGCCCGGUAGCUAAAUGCGGAAGAGAUAAGUGCUGAAAGCAUCUAAGCACGAAACUUGCCCCGAGAUGAGUUCUCCCUGAGACUUAGAGUCUCCUGAAGGAACGUUGAAGACGACGACGUUGAUAGGCCGGGUGUGUAAGCGCAGCGAUGCGUUGAGCUAACCGGUACUAAUGAACCGUGAGGCUUAACCUUACAACGCCG
rnacentral:rRNA from 1 species